CAACUUUGAAACUUUACUAUGCAGAAGAAAUAUGCUACUUUUCCUUUAUUUUUUAGUAGUUUAACAGUACUAUAUUUUAUUUGCUUCCCCCACUCUGUUUCGCCUGAUCGUGUACUUCUGGUUCCAGAUGAGGUGUGGUUGACAGUCAGUUUGUAAGUCUGGUGUUUGUGUCUGUGAGGUUCUACUGUAGUGUGUUGGUAUCUGUAUCUUCACAAAUCAUUUGGCGCCUGUAGGUCAGAUGCCUUUUUUUUUUUUUUUUUAGCCAAGUACACAACAUUUUAGUUGAAUGCUGUGCAUCCCUCUUCCUGUAAAAUGUUAAUUCUGCUUCUGAAAUGUUAAUUUCUGGCCUUCCCUAGUUUGAGUGGAGGAUGACUGAGGUAUAAGGAUGGCCGGAUGAGGCUUUUAUUGAAGUUAAAUAGGUACCAAGUUCUCAACAGUGAUGAGAAAUCUCUAAUCCUCUUAAUAACUGAACUUUCACUCAUGCCUUGUGUUAUCACUCACACUAGUUAUUCCAUUAGUCUUUCCUCCUAGACAGGAUAUAAAUUUCAAAGGUGAAAGACAAGCAGAAAAAGAUGGGCAGGCUGCCUCUAUACAGUGAAGCAGAAGAAAAGGUCAAAAGUCCUUCUUCCUUCUCUUUGCUGUUUUGCUUUAAGACACUGCACUUAGCAACUACAACAUGGCAAGACAGAAUAAGCUAAAAUGUAAGCACUUGUCCAAAAAUGCAUUUGGAUAUCAGCAAUUUUAUGUAGUACUACCAUCUAUGGGUGCAUCUCUAGUAAACUAGUUGCAUUAUUUUGUUUCGCAUUAAGAGUGCUUGUGAGCCUUCUACUGAUUUGGCUAAAUGGACUAAACGUGAUUUGAUUUUAAAAACAACCAACCUGCAAAAACCAUUUUAAUGGUAUUUGGCUUGAUGCAGCAGUCUCCUCUGCUGGAAGAAAAAGUCCUAGUUUCAAGCACUGGGAAUAAAUAUCUUGUUUAUCUUAAAUUGUAAAUGUAUUAGUCAGCAGCAAAAUCUGGAUGCUCUUGCAUUCAUUAAGAUAAAUGUUCCUUAAUGAAACUAAGGUAAUGCAAAUGCUAGAUGCAAGUUUGUUUAUGCAGCGGUGCCAACAUUAUUUAUGCAAGGUAUCACUUUUCCUUCUCUGAAGCUGGCCCAUGGUGCUCUUUGAUGUAGUACAACUGAGCAAUUCCUUGUCUGCCAAACACAAAGCCUUUUUUCUCUUAAUCCCCUCUAGCAUUACCAUGUAGUACCAGCAGGUGGACAUGUUUAGAAAAUUGAUUGCCUACUAGCUCUAGAAAACUGCUGAAGUGGAGAAAACAAACUAUAUUAAUUCUGAUUACUCGUUUCUAAGCAUAGUAUACUGCAUGGAGGAGGCUGUUAGCUGCUCUUUCAUACAUAACAAAUGGAAAAGACUUAUAGCAAGGAAGAGUCCCUUGUGAGAAUUCUAAGAAUUUUCAUCUAUGCAGGAAUACUUUGUAAGGGAAAAAGGAAAGAGUUCCCUCUAAUAGGAAUUUGAUGCCAAUUAGGUGAUGUCCUGGGUGGGGUUCUCAGAACACCAGUUGGCCACUUCAAAGAAGGAAAAAUGCUGGGUAGGUAAUUUUGUGCUUGUGUUUGUGGAGAAUCACAGCCAUUCAAAUUGUCAGAUAGCCUCGGACAUAAUUCCAGUGCUCUGUGGCUGUAAAAGAUUGUGGGAUGUGGGUGGGUCAUAGACCAAAAUUGUUGAAUCACUACUUACAUCCUUUACCAUGAUUGCAGCAAACAGUGGUAAAGGACAGAAGGUUGGUCCAGCUCUGUAUCAGGUGCUGAAGGUCUAACCAAACUGGUCUAGGAAGAUGGAAGUAAGUCAGUAUCCAACAGUGCCAUCUUUAGAGAACAGUAGCUUCUAGUAUAGCCCCUCUUAUUCUCAGCUAGGCUGGUGUUGCAGGGGAGAAGUGAAGGGCGCGAGUUCUAACCAGGGUGCACAAGAUUGGAGAGAGGAGAAUAAAGCUAACUGCUACUUUAUUCUUUUUUUACAUUGCAGGCUAGUCACCCCAUCAUAGUUCUAUCAAAGCUCACAAAAAUGAAGCUUGUGUAAGAGCAACAAACUCGUGGGGAAAUAGUCCAAGUAAUUUAACUCUUCAUUUAGUACUUUACCAAUGAACUGACAUGUCAUCUCCAUAGUCAUUGUAUGCCUCAAGAUAUUACCCCACUUUGUCUCUCUAAUCUCCAGAGUCAGACAUUCAUAGAUUUUUAAGGCCAGACAGGACCAUCUUGUCCAACCUCCUCUAUCACAAGCCACAGAAUAUCCUUCAGUUAUCCCACUACUGAGUCCUAUACUUGUUUGACUAAAGCAUAUUUUCCAGAAAGGCUUCCAGGCUUGAAGAUUUCAAGAGAUGGAGGAUCCACCACUUGCUUUAAUAGUUUGUGCCAAUGGUUAAUCACCCUCAUUGAUAAAAAGUGGCAUUUAUAAUAUGAAUGUACAUGACUUUAACUUCCAGCUGUCGACUGGGUUAUGCCUUUCUCCUGAGGCUGGGUCUCCUGACUACAGCACCAGGCUUUAUCCACUGGGCCAUGAUGCCUCCCUUAGACUUGAAUACAGUGGCACUGCUUAACUAA